rnacentral:rRNA from 1 species
UGGGGAAUAUUGCACAAUGGGCGCAAGCCUGAUGCAGCCAUGCCGCGUGUAUGAAUAAGGCCUUCUGGUUGUAAAGUACUUUCAGCGGGGAGGAAGGUGUUGUGGUUAAUAACCACAGCAAUUGACGUUACCCGCAGAAGAAGCACCGGCUAACUCCGUGCCAGCAGCCGCGGUAAUACGGAGGGUGCAAGCGUUAAUCGGAAUUACUGGGCGUAAAGCGCACGCAGGCGGUCUGUCAAGUCGGAUGUGAAAUCCCCGGGCUCAACCUGGGAACUGCAUCCGAAACUGGCAGGCUUGAGUCUUGUAGAGGGGGGUAGAAUUCCAGGUGUAGCGGUGAAAUGCGUAGAGAUCUGGAGGAAUACCGGUGGCGAAGGCGGCCCCCUGGACAAAGACUGACGCUCAGGUGCGAAAGCGUGGGGAGCAAACA